rnacentral:rRNA from 1 species
UACGUAGGGUGCGAGCGUUGUCCGGAAUUAUUGGGCGUAAAGAGCUUGUAGGCGGUCUGUCGCGUCUGCUGUGAAAAUCCGGGGCUCAACCCCGGACUUGCAGUGGGUACGGGCAGACUAGAGUGUGGUAGGGGAGACUGGAAUUCCUGGUGUAGCGGUGAAAUGCGCAGAUAUCAGGAAGAACACCGGUGGCGGAAGGCGGCUCUCUGGGCCUUACCUGACGCUGAGGAGCGAAAGCCGUGGGUAG